CCGGGACGCACGGGUGAGUAACACGUAUGGAACCUGCCCGCAGCAGGGGGAUAAGCGGAAGAAAUUCCGUCUAAUACCGCGUAACACCGCAGAGGGGCAUCCCUCGGCGGUUAAAGAUUCAUCGGCUGCGGAUGGCCAUGCGGCGCAUUAGCUAGUCGGCGGGGUAACGGCCCACCGAGGCGACGAUGCGUAGGGGUUCUGAGAGGAAGGUCCCCCACACUGGUACUGAGACACGGACCAGACUCCUACGGGAGGCAGCAG
rnacentral:rRNA from 1 species